rnacentral:rRNA from 1 species
GAUGAACGCUGGCGGCGUGCUUAACACAUGCAAGUCGAACGGGGAUGCUUAUGGAAGGAGUGCUUGCACUCUGGAAGUAAGGAUCUUAGUGGCGGACGGGUGAGUAACGCGUGGGUAACCUGCCCCAUACCGGGGGAUACCACCUGGAAACAGGUGCUAAUACCGCAUAAGCGCACGGGAGCGCAUGCUCCUGUGUGAAAAACUCCGGUGGUAUGGGAUGGACCCGCGUCUGAUUAGCCAGUUGGCAGGGUAACGGCCUACCAAAGCGACGAUCAGUAGCCGGCCUGAGAGGGUGGACGGCCACAUUGGGACUGAGACACGGCCCAA